GAUGAACGCUGGCGGCGUGCCUAAUACAUGCAAGUCGAGCGAACGGACGAGAAGCUUGCUUCUCUGAUGUUAGCGGCGGACGGGUGAGUAACACGUGGAUAACCUACCUAUAAGACUGGGAUAACUUCGGGAAACCGGAGCUAAUACCGGAUGAUAUUUUGAACCGCAUGGUUCAAAAGUGAAAGACGGUCUUGCUGUCACUUAUAGAUGGAUCCGCGCUGCAUUAGCUAGUUGGUAAGGUAACGGCUUACCAAGGCAACGAUGCAUAGCCGACCUGAGAGGGUGAUCGGCCACCCUGGAACUGAGACACGGUCCAGACUCCUACGGGAGGCAGCAGUAGGGAAUCUUCCGCGAUGGGCGAAAGCCUGACGGAGCAACGCCGCGUGAGUGAUGAAGGUCUUCGGAUCGUAAAACUCUGUUAUUAGGGAAGAACAUAUGUGUAAGUAACUGUGCACAUCUUGACGGUACCUAAUCAGAAAGCCACGGCUAACUACGUG
rnacentral:rRNA from 1 species